UUUAUUUCUACAUUUAGUAAUUUAAUAAUUAAAUGGUUCAGUUAGAUCAUCACUAUGAAUGUUUGGUUAUUUGUGAAUUGGUUUGAGUUGAUUUACUAGGAUGCUUGCAAUUGGAGCUUAUGGAUUUGUGGUUUUGGUUUUAUAGAUAAUUGGUUCUCGGACUUAUGUAUUUACGCAUUGUGAUUUUCUACCCCUCGAGGUAUUCGGUUUUCAAACGUGAAGUUUUCGUAUGGAAAACAGUUUUAAAAAGGUUUUCGAAUGGUUUUUAUGGAUGAUUAAUUAGAGUUUAAAAAUAAAAACUUUCGGGUAGGGAACACUUUUAAAUAGGAUGCUUGUUGUACUGUGCAUUGUAUUAUCCAGCGCCUAAGGAGUGUUUAAAGACAUGCUGUCACGCCCCGGGACCCAGCGGAAGCCCGCCCGGCACGUGCCCAGACCCGCUAUACGUCUAAAACAUAUAAGGCGUCUAAAAACAACAAUAAUAAAAGCAAUAAUAAAAGACAUCUAGGAGUAUCAGAACAUAACAAAUGUCUAAAUGCUACAACAAGGGAUAAGAAUAAAAUUGUAAAUCCACUAAAUAAAACAUAAAGUGAUACAAGGAAAUCCUAGAUACAAGUGCUAUAGGUAGAUACAUAGGUGGUCUCUAUACAUGGAUACAAAACCUCUCACUCUCUCUCAACUACAAAAAGAGAGUAAACCACCUAGGCAAAGUACCGCUCCUCGCUAGCUAGUUAAGCGAUCUCCUUGCCGCGAUCCCGUGCCUCCGCUGGUGCCGAAGGCUCUGAAAAGUAAACCAUAAAACAGGGGCGUGAGAACUAUUAAAAAUAGUUUCCAGUGGGCAAUUACUGACUUCAGUGAAUGCACCACAAGGCCCAAAGCUACAAAAGAUGUCAGUGACUAUAAAAGUAGAAAAAGCGAAAGGUAAGUAAAGAUGUAACUUACUACAACAUGAUAUCUCUACUUAGCAUAAUUAGCAUAAGUAUGAAGCAACUAUGCAUGAAGUAAAAGUCUCCAACUACCAUAAUGUUCACAAUGCGAAAUAGUAAGGUUCCGUUGUUUACUAUUCUAGUCAAUGUCUAAGUAGUACACUAAGUCAUCAUCUGUCCACAUGUCAUAAUGAAUACUCAAAGUCAAAUCUGAAGAGACCCACCCGAAGGCUGUCUAUGGCCCUGAGACCCACCCGUAGGCUGUCUGGCUGGUGCCGAGCUUAAUGGCCCCGUGGUAGUCAUCAUCCCCACCCUAGGAAUGAGCCUGUCCCACGGCAAUCCACUUCGGCGCCCAAUCCCGCACGGCGAAUAUGAAUCGCGAUGGCUAUCUCCGGAGUGCCGGCUUGUAGGGAGCGACCCUCACAAGCAUGUGCGAAUGAGCACAAUGGCAAGUAGGCAAACGAUCUGUCGCAAGUACCAAGUCCUCAUGUCUAAUAACAUGGAAUGUGUCAAGCAUCUCAACGGCCUAUCCCUAUGUCAUCAUGUCUCUAACAUGAAAUGUAGCGGAUA
rnacentral:lncRNA from 1 species